UCGGGAAUUUUGGGCAAUGGGCGAAAGCCUGACCCAGCAACGCCGCGUGAAGGAUGAAGUAUUUCGGUAUGUAAACUUCGAAAGAAUAGGAAGAAUAAAUGACGGUACUAUUUAUAAGGUCCGGCUAACUACGUGCCAGCAGCCGCGGUAAUACGUAGGGACCAAGCGUUGUUCGGAUUUACUGGGCGUAAAGGGCGCGUAGGCGGCAAUUCAAGUCAUCUGUGAAAUCUCCGGGCUUAACUCGGAACGGUCAGAUGAUACUGCUUUGCUAGAGUGCAGAAGGGGCAAUCGGAAUUCUUGGUGUAGCGGUGAAAUGCGUAGAUAUCAAGAGGAACACCUGAGGCGAAGGCGGGUUGCUGGGCUGAUACUGACGCUGAGGCGCGAAAGCUAGGGUAGCAAACGGGAUUAGAUACCCCAGUAGUCCCUGAGCGGGCUGGCAAGGCGCAU
rnacentral:rRNA from 1 species